rnacentral:lncRNA from 1 species
CUGUGGCAUCAUGAGAACUGUGUGGGCUUUGGGCCAGAAUGGCCAGACUUUGUUAUUUACAGAUACGUGAGUUUGGGCAAAUUAUUGUUCUCUGUGUCCCAGCUGUAAACAAGCCAUCUUACUGGAGGCCAUCCUACUUGGAGCAAUACCCCCAGGAGGAGAACUACCCGAAUUUUUUUUUUGUAAGAUGGAGUCUUGCUCUGUUGCCCAGGCUGGAAUGCAAUGGCACGAUCUCAGCUCACUGCAACCUCUGCCCCCCGGGUUCAAGUGAUUCUCCUGCCUCAGCCUCCCGAGUACCUGAGAUCACAGGAGUGCACCAUCACGCCCGGCUAAUUUUUGUAUUUUUAGUAGAGACCGGGUUUCACCAUUGUUGGCCAGGCUGGCCUCGAAUUCCUGACCUCAAGUGAUCUGCCCCCCUCGGCUUCCCAAAGUGCUGGGAUUACAGGCGUGAGCCACUGCCCCCGGCAGAACCACCCGAAUUUGUUGAGUGCUUCAACAACUUCGAAUGAAACUCACUGGUGUCCUUUGCAUUCAUUACAGCAAACAGAAGCAGUGUUCAUAGACAGGUAGCAGAUACAACGAACACACAACCAAGAAUCACCAAACAUACUAGGAAAACCAGUACUGCGGAACAGAAGCAACAAAGCGGAUAGAAUCAACAACCAAGGAUGGGAGUUAGGACAAACCGAUUCAGACAUGGAACUGUGAACAAAAAUUGCCAAAGUAUUCACCCAUAAACAAGACCUCAAGUGAUUCCUAAGAGGAGCAAUGCUCUGACCACAGUAAAAUAAAGUUAGAAAUGAACGUGAAAGUACAGCCAAGAAGAGAUCUACCAACAUAUAAUUUUCUCACCAUCUUUUUUUGUAUUACUGCCUAAGUAAUUCUGAGUUUAAGAGAAAAUCGAAAUGAAAAAAUCAAGUGAUUUAGAAAUACACUACAAGAGUACUGCAUUUGCUGAAACCGUGGGAUGCUCAAAGUAGUUCUCGGGAGAAAAUGGUCUUGCUCUGUUGCCCAGGCUGGAGUGCAGUGGUACAAUCGUGGCUCACUUUAGCCUCGAGCUCCUGGGCUCAAGUGAUCUUCCUGCCGCAGACUCCUGAGUGACUGGGACUGAGACAGGAGUUUGUCAGGACAGGUUUUGCAAGGUACAGGUCACGAGGACCCCGCUGCUGAAACAAGAUGCGGUACAUAAGUGGAUCGAAGCCCGCCAAAACCAAGAUGACAACUGAAGUGACCUCUGGUUGUCCUCACUAUUCACGAUACACUCAUUAUAACAAAUGAGCAUGCUAAAAGACACGCCCACCAGCGCCAGGACAGUUUACAAACGCCAUGGCAACACUUGGAAGUUACCCUAUGUGGUCUGAAAGCGGGGGGAACCCUCAGUUCCAGGAAUGGCUGCUCCUUUCCGGAAAACCUCAUGAAUAACCCACCCCUUGUUUAGCAUAAGAUCAAGAAAUAAUACUCCAUUUGAAAAAUAAAUGAAUUAAAAAAAGAAAUAAGCAUAAAAAUAGCCAACUAGUGGCCCUUGGAGCUGCUCUGCCUAUGGAGUAGGCACUCUUUUCUCCCUUUACUUUCUUAGUAAACUUGCUUUCACUUUACUCUGUUGGCUCCCUCUGUUUUUUUUUUUUUUUUUUUUUUUUUGAGACAGAGUCUCUCACUAUCACCCAAGCUGGAGUGCAGUGGCGCGAUCUCGGCUCACUGCAACCUCCGCCUCCCGGGUUCAAGCGAUUCUCCUGCCUCAGCCUCCCAAGUAGCUGGGAUUACAGGUGCCUGCCACCACGCCCAGCUAAUUUUUUGUAUUUUUAGUAGAGAUGGCGUUUCACCAUGUUGGCCAGGCUGGUCUCAAACUCCUGACCUUGUCAUUCGCCCGCCUCAGCCUCCCAAAGUGCUGGGAUUACAGGCAUGAGUCACCGCGCCCGGCCUUUUUUAUUUUUUUAUUUUUUUUGAGACAGAGUCUCAUUGUGUUACCCAGGCUGGAGUGCAGUGGCACAAUCUGGGCUCACUGCAACCUCCACCUCCCGGGUUCAAGCGAUUCUCCUGCCUCAGCCUCCUGAGUAGCUGGGAUUACAGGUGCGCACCACCACACCUGGCUAAUUUUUGUAUUUUUAGUAGAGACGGGGUUUCGCCAUGUUGGCCAGGCUGGUCUCAAACCCCUGACCUCAGAUGAUCUGCCCACCUUGGCCUCCCAAAGUGCUGGAAUUACAGGCUUGAGCUGUUGACUCCCUCUUGAGUUCCUUCCUGUGUAAAGCCAAGAACCCAUGUGACCUCCUGGGCUGAGCCUCUAAUUUUGGGGUCGCCCUGUGACAGGAUUACAGGCAUGUGCUACCACGCCUGGCUAAUUUUUUUUUUUUGGAGGGAGAGGGGUCUCACUAUGUUGCCCAGGCUGGUCUCGAGCUCCUGGGCUCAAGCCAUUCUCCUGCCUCAGCCUCCCAAAUUGCUGGGAUUACUGGCAGGAGCCACUUUGAUAGACCAGUAUUUUUUUUGAAGGAGAAUUAAAAAAAGAAUUUAUGUACAGAAAACUCAACAGUGGACGUUUAACCCAGUUUAGUGGCAAGUUCUUUAGCCUUUGCCUUUUGCAGUUUAGCAAUGUCUGAGCCAGAUUUUGGACCCAGGGCAUUGCUGUAGCCACCCAACGGGUUCACCUUGCCUGCUGCCUAGACACAGCCGAUUUAUUAAGACAGGGAAAUUGCAAUGGAGAAAGAGCAAUUCACGCAGAGCCGGCUGUGCGGGAGACCGGAGGCUUUUUCUUUUGAGAUGGAGUUUCACUCUUGUUGCCCAGGCUGGAGUGCAAUGGCGUGAUCUCAGCUCACUGCAGCCUCCAACUCCCAGGUUCAAGAGAUUCUCCUGCCUCAGCCUCUUGAGUGGCUGGGACUACAGGCGCGUGCCACCAUGCCCAGCUAAUUUUUGUAUUUUUAGUAGAGACGGGGUUUCACCAUGUUGGCCAGGAUGGUCUCGAUCUCUUGACCUCGUAAUCCCCCCAUCUCAGCCUCCCAAAGGGCUGUGAUUACAGGCGUGAACCACCACGCGCGGCCUGUCAGGCCUCUGAGCCCAAGCUAAGGCAUCACAUCCCCUGUGACCUGCACGUAUACAUCCAGGUGGCCUGAAGCAACUGAAGAUCCACAAAAAAAGUGAAAAUAGCCUUAACUGAUGACAUUCCACCAUUGUGAUUUGUUUCUGCCCCACCCUGACUGAUCAAUGUGCUUUGCAAUCUCUCCCAACCUUAAGAAGGUUCUUUGUAAUCUCCCACAACCUUAAGAAGGUUCUUUGUAAUCUCCCACAACCUUAAGAAGGUUCUUUGUAAUUCUCCCCACCCAUGUAUACUUUGUGAGAUCCACUCCCUGCCUGCAAAACAUUGCUCCUAACUCCACCGCCUAUCCCAACACCUGUAAGAGCUAGUGAUAAUCCCACCACUCUUUGCUGACUCUCUUUUCGGACUCAGCCCGCCUGCACGCAGGUGAAAUAAAU